UACAGGGGGUGCAAACGUUGCUCGGAAUUAUUGGGCGUAAAGCGCACGUAGGCGGUUCGUUAUGUCGGAUGUGAAAGCCCUUGGCUUAACCGAGGAAGUGCAUCCGAAACUGGCGAGCUAGAGUACGAAAGAGGAUCACGGAAUUCCCGGUGUAGAGGUGAAAUUCGUAGAUAUCGGGAGGAACACCGGUGGCGAAGGCGGCGAUCUGGGUCGAUACUGACGCUGAGGUGCGAAAGCGUGGGGAGCAAACAGG
rnacentral:rRNA from 1 species